rnacentral:rRNA from 1 species
AGGGUUUGAUCCUGGCUCAGAACGUACGCUGGCGGCACGCCUUAUACAUGCAAGUCGAACGAAGUAGCAAUACUUAGUGGCAGACGGGUGAGUAACAUGUGGGUAUCUUCCCUUUGGUGAGGAAUAACACGAGGAGACUUGUGCUAAUACCUCAUAAGUCUUUACGGAGAAAGCUUUAUGCGCCAAUGGAUGAGCCCGCACUUGAUUAGUUUGUUGGUGGGGUAAUGGCCUACCAAGACUUUGAUCAAUAGCUGAUCUGAGAGGAUGAUCAGCCACAUUGGGACUGAGACACGGCCCAAACUCCUACGGGAGGCAGCAGUAGGGAAUAUUGCACAAUGGAGGAAACUCUGAUGCAGCGAUGCCGCGUGAGUGAAGAAGGCCUUUGGGUUGUAAAGCUCUUUCGUCGGGGAAGAAAAUGACUGUACCCGAAUAAGAAGGUCCGGCUAACUUCGUGCCAGCCGCCGCGGUAAUA